CUAAUUACAAGUUAUUUGCAGUGGAGACAGCUAAAAGAUUGAAUGCAGUCAUUCUUAAAGUUUGAUUUGUGAUUUUGUCUUUUCUGAUAGAUUUUGUAAUUUUACAUCUAGGACCUUCAGGAGAAUUGAGCAAAACCCAAACUCAUUGUUCUCAACAAAGACCUUCUGUAUGGCCAAGAACAUGAAACUGCUCCCUCAAGAAGGUGAUGUAGUCCUGCAGCUGCUGCCAGUACCCCUUCCUGCUCCACCUUACUAAUUUGGGAGAAGUUUCAGAUCCAUCAACCUGGAAAUUCAGAUGUUUUCAUUGAUAUCCAGCCUAUCUUUUGUAUGGCCAAGAAGAGAAAGGAGCGGCCGUCUUCUCAACAACAUGAAUUUUCUCCCUUAAGACAGACAAGAUGAUGUAGCCCUGACGCUGCUGCCAGUACUCCUCCCUACUUACACAUUUGGGAGAAGAGUUUCAGAUCCAUCAACCUGGAAGUUCAGAAGGUUUCAUUGAUAUCCAGCCUGUAAGUCAACAUUCAUCUCUGAAUCAUGCUCAAAUUGUUUGCUGUUUAUAUAAGUUCAUCACUAAUGGCCUGUUUU